rnacentral:rRNA from 1 species
UACGUAGGGGGCAGCGUGUCGUUCGAUUGGUGCGUAAAGAGCGUGUAGGCGGUUAGGUAGGUCCGUUGUGAAAACUCGAGGCUCAACCUCGAGACGUCGGUUGAAACCGUCUGGCUAGAGUCCGGAAGAGGAGAGUGGAAUUCCCGGUGUAGCGGUGAAAUGCGCAGAUAUCGGGAAGAACACCCGUGGCGAAGGCGGCUCUCUGGGACGGUACUGACGCUGAGACGCGAAAGCGUGGGGAGCGAACAGG